AGACGUCUACAUUAGACUACCCGGGUAGUCCCAGCCGUAAACUAUGCGCGUUAGGUGUAUCGGUGACCACGAGUCACCGAGGUGCCGAAGGGAAACCGUGAAACGUGCCGCCUGGGAAGUACGGUCGCAGGGCUGAAACUUAAAGGAAUUGGCGGGGAGCACCACAACGGGUGGAGCCUGCGGUUUAAUUGGACUCAACGCCGGGAAGCUCACCGGAUAAGACAGCGGAAUGAUUGCCGGGCUGAAGACUCUGCAUGACUAGCUG
rnacentral:rRNA from 1 species